rnacentral:rRNA from 1 species
GACGAACGCUGGCGGCGUGCUUAACACAUGCAAGUCGAACGGAAAGGCCCUGCUUUUGUGGGGUGCUCGAGUGGCGAACGGGUGAUUAACACGUGAGUAACCUGCCCUUGACUUUGGGAUAACUUCAGGAAACUGGGGCUAAUACCGGAUAGGAGCUCCUGCUGCAUGGUGGGGGUUGGAAAGUUUCGGCGGUUGGGGAUGGACUCGCGGCUUAUCAGCUUGUUGGUGGGGUAGUGGCUUACCAAGGCUUUGACGGGUAGCCGGCAUGAGAGGGUGACCGGCCACAUUGGGACUGAGAUACGGCCCAGACUCCUACGGGAGGCAGCAGUGGGGAAUAUUGCACAAUGGGCGGAAGCCUGAUGCAGCAACGCCGCGUGCGGGAUGACGGCCUUCGGGUUGUAAACCGCUUUCGCCUGUGACGAAGCGUGAGUGACGGUAAUGGGUAAAGAAGCACCGGCUAACUACGUG